rnacentral:rRNA from 1 species
UGGUGAGGUAAAGGCUCACCAAGGCGACGAUCCGUAGCUGGUCUGAGAGGAUGAUCAGCCACACUGGGACUGAGACACGGCCCAGACUCCUACGGGAGGCAGCAGUGGGGAAUAUUGGACAAUGGGCGAAAGCCUGAUCCAGCAAUGCCGCGUGAGUGAAGAAGGCCUUAGGGUUGUAAAGCUCUUUUACCCGGGAUGAUAAUGACAGUACCGGGAGAAUAAGCUCCGGCUAACUCCGUGCCAGCAGCCGCGGUAAUACGGAGGGAGCUAGCGUUGUUCGGAAUCACUGGGCGUAAAGCGCACGUAGGCGGCUUUGUAAGUUAGAGGUGAAAGCCCGGGGCUCAACUCCGGAACUGCCUUUAAGACUGCAUCGCUUGAAUCUGGGAGAGGUGAGUGGAAUUCCGAGCGUAGAGGUGAAAUUCGUAGAUAUUCGGAAGAACACCAGUGGCGAAGGCGGCUCACUGGACCAGAAUUGACGCUGAGGUGCGAAAGCGGGGGGAGCAAACAGGAUUAGAU